UACGUAGGGUGCGAGCGUUAAUCGGAAUUACUGGGCGUAAAGUGUGCGCAGGCGGCCGAGCAAGUCGAGUGUGAAAGCCCCGAGCUUAACUUGGGAACUGCGCUCGAAACUACUUGGCUAGAGUGUGGCAGAGGGAGGUGGAAUUCCACGUGUAGCGGUGAAAUGCGUAGAGAUGAUGGAGGAACACCGAUGGCGAAGGCAGCCUCCUGGGCCAACACUGACGCUCAUGCACGAAAGCGUGGGAGCAAACAGG
rnacentral:rRNA from 1 species